AGAGUUUGAUCCUGGCUCAGGAUGAACGCUAGCGGCAGGCUUAACACAUGCAAGUCGAGGGGCAGCGGGGAGGAAGCUUGCUUUCUCCGCCGGCGACCGGCGCACGGGUGAGUAACACGUAUGCAACCUGCCCCUGUCAGGGGGACAACCCGCCGAAAGGCGGGCUAAACCCGCGUACAUGCCACCGGGGCAUCCCGGAGGCAGGAAAGGCUUCGGCCGGACAGGGAUGGGCAUGCGGCGCAUUAGGCAGUAGGCGGGGUAACGGCCCACCUAACCGACGAUGCGUAGGGGUUCUGAGAGGAAGGUCCCCCACACUGGUACUGAGACACGGACCAGACUCCUACGGGAGGCAGCAGUGAGGAAUAUUGGUCAAUGGUCGGGAGACUGAACCAGCCAAGCCGCGUGAGGGAGGAAGGUACAGAGUAUCGUAAACCUCUUUUGUCAGGGAACAAAGGCGGGGACGUGUCCCCGGAUGAGUGUACCUGAAGAAAAAGCAUCGGCUAACUCCGUGCCAGCAGCCGCGGUAAUACGGAGGAUGCGAGCGUUAUCCGGAUUUAUUGGGUUUAAAGGGUGCGCAGGCGGUCUGUUAAGUCAGCGGUCAAAGCCCGGGGCUCAACCCCGGCCCGCCGUUGAAACUGGCAGUCUCGAGUUGGAGAGAAGUAUGCGGAAUGCGCGGUGUAGCGGUGAAAUGCAUAGAUAUCGCGCAGAACUCCGAUUGCGAAGGCAGCAUGCCGGCUCCACACUGACGCUGAGGCACGAAAGCGUGGGUAUCGAACAGGAUUAGAUACCCUGGUAGUCCACGCAGUAAACGAUGAAUGCUGGCUGUCCGGGGGGACUGACCCCUGGGUGGCGAAGCGAAAGCGAUAGGCAUUCCACCUGGGGAGUACGCCGGCAACGGUGAAACUCAAAGGAAUUGACGGGGGCCCGCACAAGCGGAGGAACAUGUGGUUUAAUUCGAUGAUACGCGAGGAACCUUACCCGGGCUCAAACGGGGAGUGGCGCAGGCAGAGACGCCUGUUUCCCACGGGACACUCCCCGAGGUGCUGCAUGGUUGUCGUCAGCUCGUGCCGUGAGGUGUCGGCUUAAGUGCCAUAACGAGCGCAACCCCCGCGUGCAGUUGCUAACAGUCAACGCUGAGGACUCUGCACGGACUGCCGGCGCAAGCCGCGAGGAAGGCGGGGAUGACGUCAAAUCAGCACGGCCCUUACGUCCGGGGCGACACACGUGUUACAAUGGGUGGUACAGCGGGAAGCCAGGCGGCGACGCCGAGCGGAACCCGAAAUCCACUCUCAGUUCGGAUCGGAGUCUGCAACCCGACUCCGUGAAGCUGGAUUCGCUAGUAAUCGCGCAUCAGCCAUGGCGCGGUGAAUACGUAAGCGGGCCUUGCACACACCGCCCGUCA
rnacentral:rRNA from 1 species